rnacentral:rRNA from 1 species
UACGAAGGAGGCUAGCGUUGCUCGGAAUUACUGGGCGUAAAGCGCACGUAGGCGGCUUUCUAAGUCGGGGGUGAAAUCCUGGAGCUCAACUCCAGAACUGCCUCGAUACUGGAGAGCUCGAGUCCGGGAGAGGUGAGUGGAACUGCGAGUGUAGAGGUGAAAUUCGUAGAUAUUCGCAAGAACACCAGUGGCGAAGGCGGCUCACUGGCCCGGUACUGACGCUGAGGUGACGAAGCGUGGGGAGCAAACAGG